rnacentral:lncRNA from 1 species
UAUAUUUUGGUAGUGGGGAUUAAACACAGGGCCUUUGCACUGAGCUAUAACCCCAGCCCUUUUUUAUUUUUACACAGGGUUUCACUGAGUUACUAAAUUACCCAGGCUGGACUUGAGCUUGGGCUCCUCCUCCCUUGGACUCCCACAGGCACGCGUCUCCAAGUCCUGCCCAGCUGCCACAGGAAGGACGGAUGACUGGCCUCGCUCCCAAACUCACUGCACCAAGCAAAUGGAGAAGCAAUCUGCUGCUAACCAACUCGGCCCCUCUGCCCACACACAUUCCCUGCUUGCUCAGGACAGAAGGGAAGAAUGAAAACGACACCAGAAUUAGUGCCCUGAGUUCAGGAAAUCCCAGCCCCCAGAGCCGGCAGGCUAAGACGGGUCCCUGCGUGAAUGCCAGCUGUCGGGGCGUGUGUGCCACAGUAUGCGCCCCCGUCCAGAUGGGCGCUGUGUGCUCUCAGCGUUGGAAUGGCAAGAAGGGCACCAGCUCGAGCUGUUUAAUUUUGCUCUUGCUUCCCGAUGGGCCUCAGCUUCGAUGACCAGUAUAAAGUUACUUGCCCAAGAAGCCAGGAAAACAUUUCGUGUCAAGAAGGAGCGGGGUGGAUGGAGCUGGCCCGAGUUUUGACAGAGAACAAGUUUCCACUUACGGCUGGGCUUGCCUGCCCCUGCUCUCACAGAAUGGAUCCCAGCUGUGCAGCCGCUGGCGGGCUCAGACAGCGCCCCCUCCGCAGUGCUGGCGCAUGCCGGAAGCGGGCACUGAGAACAGGUGGGCUGUGGCCAGAGGAGAAAACCUGACCGCUCACGCGGCCCAGACAGCUCAGCCCAGUCCACAGAAGUUUACAGGGCUCCUCAAAAUGAAGCGCAUCAGGAAAGAGAGCGACCCAGAAAGCAAACAUCCAGCCAAAAGGAAAGAACCCAUGAAACCGUUAGACGGUGCUCGAGAACUGCCUGGGCUUUGGGCUUCAGAGAAGUUGUCUGCGUCAUUAAGUCCUCAGUCCUCUUGGCCAGAACCUGAACCAAGAGUCUCAGAGUUCUAAGAUGAGGUGAGUCUGAGUUCCAGUCCAGUGCAGGCCUUGAGGUAGCAUUGCCCUUUCCCUGGGUCUCAGCUUCCUGGGAAGUUGGAGUGGGUGGCCUCUGAGAGCCCUGCUUAGAGAGAUCGUUCUAAGACUACCCAAAUUUGGAUGUGAUCUUUGGGCCAGCAGGCAGCUUUCUAGAUAUGUCCGUUAAAGAUACUAACUUUCUCGUGGGUAGUACCCAAUUUGCUCUUUCCCUGGAAAUGAAAGAUUUGGACACUAACGGAUACGACAUUUGUGUGGGCGGUACGUAGAUAAACAAAUAUGUGUGCCAGACAGAUGGAACUCUGGUUGGAUCACUUUUAAGCAAUGCCUUAUAAUCACUCAGCAGAAACUACCAAACACUCACAUCUACGGUUUACAGAAAUUUCUAAGCAAUGCCCGGCGAUAGUUGUUAUUACAAAUAUUUGCAAACUUGAAUCUCUUGGAGAGCUGUCAGUUGCUCAGUGGCUUAGUGUGAAGUUCUAGGAGUUUCUCCCUGAAUACACAGGCCUGGGCCUCUCCAGAUCCCCUUCCCUGAGCACGAGAGGCAAGAAGCUUCCGGCCUGGUUACCCUACCCCCAGGUUAGCGAGGGUCAUCCCAGCAGUCAAACCCCCCUUCCUCUGGUGCUGGUUUGAAACAGGGGUGGGCUUGGGGAUUAUAACCAGGGUUCUCUCUGACCUUUAGGAGAACCAAGGAUCCUUCCUGCUCUGCUCCGUUAAAAGCCAUCUAUGUGUUCUUUGAUGCCUGACCUCAGCUGUCCGUGGAGGAGUUCAGAAUUCCAUUAAAUAAUUUCCUAAGCAUAGCUUUGCGAUGCAGAAUGUUGUUACAAUCAUUUAUUCAUUCAGUUUUUCCAACCCAUUUAACAAAUACCUAAAUGCCCGUCUGCCGCCGGUCUACAAUGGCACUGUACUAAUGAGCAGAGCUAAGUUCCUCCCCAUGGAAUUCCCAGUCUGACAGGGGGAGGUACUGCUAACUGAGUGGGUUGCCAGUCACUAACCAACUCCAGAGGAAGUGGGGAGACACUGGCUUGUUAUCUGGCUGAGAUUAAAAACAGAAUCCAUUCCUCAGAGGUGGGAUUUGGAGCUGCAGUCGGGAAGCAGCCAGCUGAGUUAGUACAUGAAGUCAUCUGCAGUGAAAUGCUCAUUGAGGGCAGGGCUCCAGGGACUGGGUUGGGUCGGCCAGGGAUGGUAUAUACAGCACGGAGGAUUUAAGGACUACAGAUGAGGUGAACGGUUAUAAAGGGACUGGAGCAUGUACCUGAGAGGUAAAGAAAGUCCAACCACUAACUUUCCCCUUGGAGACACAGACUGAAACCCUGGAGCUUAACUCUCAAGGGACAGCGUCCCCCAAGACAGUUGGGAAAGGCCUGUGCGGGUCGCAGUCUCGUAACUCCAGGGCAGCAACGGGGAAGACUCACUGGCGGUGACUCAGCAGCCACGAUGCGACCAAGUCCCUGCAGGGAGACCUAGCUCUCCGAUCUUUUUGUUUCUGUCCAUUUCCAGAGUCUGCUUCUUGACAGUUCUCACGGAUUCUGUGAGCUCCCUCACACAUUCCCGGGGACAUCCUCUUCUGUGUAAAAGAACCAAAGUCUGUUUCGUAAAAGGAUCUCUCGUGCACCAACCCUCAUCCUCACAUGUGGAAGGAGCAGGAAUUCGCCUGGUCAGAAAGAAUUGAUCCAUCUAGCCAUAGUUUACAUACCUUGUGAAUCACCUUAAAUGUGCUCCAGAAGAAAGCAGUGUAAAUAAAUUAAGAAGAGCAAAUCAUUCGACGUGCACUUGCUUCCUGCUUUCAGGCACAGAGAACUGCAGAGGGUCUCAGGCAGCUGGGAGGCUGGUGCGGCUGGGUGGAUGAUGAUGACCAGGACCCGGUCUUGUAGAAAGAUAGAACACAGUCCCCAACAAUGCAAGGUCCCAUGAGAACAAUGUGUCACCGGUAGUGCUGUAGUCUGAGUGUUUGUCUCGCUUCAGUACUCGUGUUGGAGUUCUAACUCUGAGUGUGGCCGCAUUGGAAGGCGAGGCCCUUAGGAAGUGCUGUCCUUUGGGUCUCGAGUGUCCCCCAAGUUCAUGUACAUGUUAAGGGGCAGUCCCUAGGAUCUGGAGCCUUGAGGAGGUGGGGCCUCGCCUGCAGGCCUCGGGGAGCCGUCCACAAGAGGACUGCAAGACUCCCGCAAGCUAGACUUCUCUACCUUGCUGCUUGCCCAUAAGGUGAGGGGUUUUGUUCCAGCGGUUUUGUUCCAGUGGUUCUGGGCCAUCCAAUCAUGGUUAUACAGAGACUUACAUUUUUCUCCCAGUUCCCACGUAGACACCCUUUUCACGCCCUAUAGUGCAUGAUAUUUGGGAGGAGGUAACACUGGUAUAUAUUUAUCCACUAAAAGGCACAUGGUACUAGAACUUGCACCCACAGAAGCUGUGACCUAAUUGAACAGGAGUCUUGGAGAGAAGUUGCCCAUAAAAGCUGCCCUUGAUGGGAGCCACCAAAGCGGAGAGCCGAAAGAAAACUCUUGCUUUUGUGAGUUGAUUAUCUUAGGUAUUUGUUACAGAAAGGAAAGCUGACUGACACAGGAGAGAGUAGUACCCUCGGAGGAGACCCUGGAGAGCUUGCUCAUGCCUCCCACUGCAUAAGACACCACGCAAAGAUGGCAACCGGCUGUGACACAGGGCAUGGGCCCUCGCCAGACCCUGAACCAGGCACUUAACCAGGGCUUCCAGGCUCCGGAGCUGUGAGGAAUUGAUUUCUGUUGUUUACAAGCUGCCCGGGCUACGGUAGUAUAAUGGCCCAGACUCUUGCAGGUAGUUAUGACAACAAAUGAGGCAGGGUUUCUAAAGCCGGGAAGUGCUGGAGGCCGGGUGAAGAUGACAUCAUAGAUGAGGAAAUGAGAUGCUCAGGGACUGCCUAAUGAUCUCCUACCUGCCGGGUGGCUGCUGCCAAUGCAGGACGGGCGUUACUGACACCGAAGUCCCCCCAAUGGUGCAUGCAGUUGCCGUGGGAUGUGUUCGCUUCAGUCAGCCCUUGGUUUCUGAGAUCCCACCGAGGGCUGCACGUCUGUGUUAAUGCAGAAGAACAAAAGACAGGGAUUCGGAAGGAGCACAAAGUCUUCCCGCCCUGGCAAGCCACGCAGAGCCCAGGCUUGGACACUUUCAGCCCACAGUACAGCUCACUUCACAGCCCUGUCUUGUGCCUGUCCUGGCCCAGGCAGACCCAGAGGGUGAAGUGGGAGACUGAGUCACACACCCUGCAGCUCUGUCAGCAGCAGCAGGGGAUGUGGCCCCCUGAGGUGGGUGGGUGAUCUGGGCGGUCACUGCAGAAUGCCUGACAGACCCAGAGCCCAAGGGCAGAUAACCCAACCUGCUAAACCAACCCCAGUGAAACGUCUCCCUUGUCCUGUAGAGGCUCCCACCCGACAGCGUGCCGGCUCCCACCCAGCCCUGCAGCCCUCUUGUCCCGGACAGAACCCUCACCCUCGCCGUGACCACUUCAAGUCCCCCGGGGGCGGGGCUGUGCUUGGAACCUGACCCCUCAGCAUUUUCCCUUCAAAGCUUAAGGUGGUGGCUUUGGUUUAUAUGUGACCCUUCCA